CAAGAAAAUAUUCUCUGUUGAUGGACAAGUUUUGAGCUACAGUUGCUCACCCUAGUAAGGGCAGCGCAGUGGUUAUUAACCAUUUGCCCCCGUACCUCACAGUGCUUCUAUGUUAACAUAUUACAGGCGGCAGACGGCACGAGAACUCUGCUGUAUAGUGUAAGCUUCAGCCCCACCCCUGGAGUGACCUUGUGAUACUACUGCUGUAAAGUGGCCACCCUGUGGGGCGCUCCUGACUGCCACUCCCUGUAUGCAGCCUUCGUCAGUGCUGACAGCCAAUCUGUGCAACCCUUCGUAGUUGCACGUUGGCACUUCACAAACUAAUCAAACAACAGCAGUGCAUACUUUAAGACAAGCAGAUUGCAGGAAAACAAUGCUAUAUAGUGAUAUUGUCUUUUGGCCAUGAAGAUAAUGUGCUCUUAAACUUGACAAAAAAGCACUGGAAUAAACAGUGAUAAAGUGGUCAAGGAAAAACAAAGUAUAACAUUUUGUCUUGUGAUGGAGCCCUGGCCUGUCGCCACUUGACUCCAUGAUAAGGUUUUCUGUGUCAGGCCUUAGAUAGAAAUCUCUAUAUGAUGUCACAUGAUUAAGGAAGGAGAGACAGGACAACUGGCAUAGAAGGAUUGCAUAUAGUGAAGAAAUAUUUAUCGUAAGUCUAGUGAUUUAUUAUUGAUUGUAUUUACUGAAUGUUAAGGCAUGAAUGACCAAGUGACAUGAGGGAUCCUGAGCGUUGUGAAUGGGUGUUGUAAUGUUGCAGUGAGGAAAGAAUAGUGGUGCUUUGUGAGUUUUUUCUUUUUUUUUUUCUUCUCUCAUUACACUAUAAAAAGAAAUAAAGGAAUGCGGCAUGGAAGCCAUCUCCAGUGUGGGUUAUACGCCAACUGUACAGAAAGAUAUGGGUUUCUCUCAACCCUUUGAAAACAGUUCAUGUGUGUGAGACAUAGUAAACACAGUUUGAUAAUGCUUUUUUAUUUGCAUAUAUGUGCUCAUGUAUAACACUGUUAUAAAAAGUUAUAUGAUUGGUGGUAUUAUGUGAUCAUUGUUUAUCAGAUUUAUUAAGAGUUGAAUCCUUUAAUAUAGGUUGGAGAUUUUUGGUACUGCAUUAUAUUAAUUGUUAUAUAAGAUUUUGUUCAACUUUUAUGAAGGCAGAGAAGUUUGAAUUUUUAUAUCAUUCCCUGUAGACCUUUGCAUUUAUCAAUGAUGGUGUUAGAGUAAGAGUUUGAUGUAUAGAUAUUCCAGUUGGCAAAGGUAAUUGUAGGUUUUUUGAAUAAUGUACAAUAUCGAAAAUACAGGCCAAAGGGUUAUUCUGUCAUUUGAUUACAUCUCUGGAAAUUAUUUAUAAAGCUUGUAGAGUGUUUGGCACCGGAAGAAUGCUGCAUUAUAUACUGCACAGUCAGCUCUGUUGGAGCACCAAGACAAGCAUCUGUAAGAGGGAACUAUCAUUCAAUUUUUACACAUGGUUGUAUUUAAUUAAAGGAUAAAAACUUAGCUCUCAGGUUGGAGAUGACAUGUUUUAUAUUUCAUGUCCUCUUUUUUUCCCCACCUGGUAAAUAGUACCAGAUUCCUUUCCACCCACCACCAUGUCCACUCCCAGAUGUUUCCUGUUUGUUCACUUAGUGCCUGUCCAUUUAGUAGCCCAGACUACAUCACACAUUUCUGUUCCUAUUUCAUUUCUGUAAUUAUGUAUCUUCCUAAAACAACAAAAUGAGAAGACCUUUUUGUAGUGUUUUUCUACUUUUCAUCACAUUUUUAUGAGUUCUGAACAAGUAGUGUUUUAUUUUAAUGAGGUGUAUCAUUCCUAUGUCCUUCAAAAAAAUAAAUGAAUAAAUAAAUCACUCAUUGUAAAUUAAUCUGGGAUCCUCGUAGGCUUACCCAAGAGACCCAUGUUUAUGCUAACCUUCCCUGCUCCCCAUAUGCUAACCUCCCUUUCCACCCUCAUGCUCACCCUGAACCUGAUCUGUACGCUCACAAUAGCCCCUCCCAACACCUCUCAUGGUGCCCCAAGUCCACAUUAUUAGGGAGUGCUGGAACAGAUUUGUCAUCAGCUCAAAGUAUUUUUUAUGUUUGAAAUAAAAGGCAUUGCAAGAAAAUGGAAAUACUGGUGAGCCUGACAGUGGUAUAUACAGUAACUUUGGGCCUUGGCUUUGCUCCCACUUGGUUUGGUUAGAUACUGAAAUGCUGUCUGUUCUAUAAUUCAUCAGUCAUACUUUGAUACAAUUGGUGUACAAGAAAAAUACAGUCUCUCACAAUAAGAGGUUGCAUCUUUGAUCUUUAAUUCUAUGAGGGAGCCUAACUGAUGCUCAUUGUGAAGUUCCUGCACUCACCAUAUGUGUAGAAGUGUGUCAAAGUGUAUGUAUGUAUGACGGAUGGAAACAAAUUUUUUUAUAUAUUUCACUAACUUGUGUUGGUAAGGAAAGAUGCACUCAUGUUUACCAUGUGCCCUGUGUCAUGUAGCAUUAAGCGAGUAAAAAUUUUGUACUAAAUAUUUAUCUUCAUAUCUUGCAGAAAUACCACAAACUUAAGAGCUUUGGUGGGUAUUAAAAUAUCCAGUUCCAAAGCAUGUUCAGUCCUCAUUAUGGAGUAUAUACAAGUUGUUCUAAACAGUAAUAUGCAGUGUUCAUAUUUGUCAGGGAUCACAGGAUUCCUAGCAUGUGAAAAAGAGCCUUUUUUUUUGCUAUGGUCACUUGAUUAAUUUUUGAUAUUCUAGCAUUCCAAAGAGAAAGUUAUGGACCAAAGAGUGCAAUAGCCAUAGCUUACAGUUUUGAUCUUUGCCCAUUUGUGUUAAUCUACUUUCUCUCAUGCUUUUUAGGUCAGUGAAUUAUACUUUACAGUCAGAUAUUUAGAACAAAAAGUGUUUGUAUAUGUUCAUUAAAAUGGCAGUAUUGAAAUUCUUGAUGUUCUUUCAUUUUGUGAAAAAAAAUCACACUUGGGUAAUAAUUGGUGCUCUAACUAUACCUGGAUAAGAGCAUGAGGAUGAUGAUAAAUGUGGAUCCCAGGUAUCAUUUAUAUGUUUUUGAAAAUUGACCUAUUCAUUAAUUAUAGUAAGUAUUAUUUUUGUGAUAUUGCUAAAAAUUUUGAUUUCUCUUGGUAUGAUUUUCAAAAAUCCAUUUGAUCCCCCGUCCAAAUUUCGGCCAUAUUCCUUGCCCUUUGUCUAGCCCUGAAGAGCACCCAAGUGACCUUCCAGAGAUACCCAGAAAAUUGUGAUGCAAGUAUGGCCAUGUAUUUAGUGCUGAUGGAUCAGUACUAAAUCCCAUCACACAAAACCAAAUGGGAAAUGUUUUAACACAUUUUAAAAGACAUUCCCAAGAAGAAAAUGAAGGUCUCUGAGUGCUUAUGGUCUGAAGAACUAUAGCCUUCAGAGUUGUGUCUAAAGUUAAAGCAAUUUUUUGUUGAGAUUUUCCCCUGUUUUGAAGCACAAACUUCAAGAAUCUAGGUUGUUAGACAUUUUUCAAAAUUUGCUCAUUCAAGACAUAACAAUAAGGAGAUUUAGCAUUUUAUCUGAAAAAUGUAACAGUGGGAAAUGCAUAUAUAUUUAUACAAUUGUUUAUUUGUGUUAUGUAAUGCUUAUGUAUGAUUUUAAUAUUUGUCAGUGCUGAAUGACACUAAUUACAUUGGUAAUGUCUUAUUGAAAAAGUUAUUGAACAUAUUACAGCAUUGCACAUAGCACAGCAUCUGAUUAAAUCAGUUCUUUAAGUUCUGUGAAUAUUUAUGAAAGGAAUCAGAAGAAGCAUCAGUAUUAUAACAGCUUUUAGACACAGCUCUCUAGUUUCCAAAAGUACCUAAAGAUGCUCCAUAUCAAGACGUGAACCAUAUGUUGGCUGUAAAGUGUAUAUUGGGCAUUAUGAUUGCACAAUCCAUCACAGACUUCCCAGGACAGCCUGAAAUAAUAAUACAUUGAUAUAGGUUUGCCUUUAUUCUGUAUUUUAAAAGUAACUUGAAAUAUUUUAUGUACAGCCUCUUUAUUCCCUAUUGUCAGUUUGAUGUUCUGUACCUAGCCUGAAGGUAAUAUUGCACAGUGCUGUUUUGUGCAACCUUAUUGCUAGCUUAAUGAUAAGAAUCACCAGAAGCCAUUAAGACAUAUUUUCAAGUCACUGAUUUGAGAAUUGACUGGGAAAAAUCAUAUGGGUUAAUCUGCUAAAUGAUUCAUAUCACAAUGUUAGUAAAAAAAAAAGAAAAAAAAAAAAAAAGAAAAAAGAAAAUCAAACAAAGGAAAAAAAUCAAUAGAAGAGAAGUUUGUAAAAUCUAGCACUGCGUAAUAAGACCAUAGAUACACACUAAUCCUUUAUGUUUACAUGAUGCAUCUGGGCAUAAAUUAGUUUUAAUAUGUUUCCAUAUAUGUAGUAUGAUCAUUGUUACAGUCAGUACACACUUGAUAUUAACGUGAGUGACAUCAUUUCUUAGAACUCAGUGUUUUAUGAUCACUCCAUAUGUUUAAUAAAUAAAUGAUGUGUGCUUUUUA